UAAAGCGUAAAAGAGCGUAGAGUGAAUGCCUUGGCAUUGGGAGCCGAUGAAGGACGUGGUUAACUGUGAAAAGCUACGGGGAGUCGUAAGCAGACAUUGAUCCGUAGAUGUCCGAAUGGAGCAAUCCGCAUGGAGUUAGUCCAUGCAUCCAUAAGUGAAUUCAUAGCUUAUGGAGGGGAACCGCCUGAACUGAAACAUCUAAGUAGGGCGAGGAAGAGAAAUCAAACGAGAUUUCGUAAGUAGUGGCGAGCGAACGCGAAAGAGGCUAAACCAAGAGAAGAAAUUCUUUUGGGGUUACGGACUGCGGAAUGUAUCUGAGGACUUAGCAGAAUGGUAUGGGAAAGCCAACCAGAGAAUGUGAUAGUCAUGUAUGCGAAAAGGAAUCAGAGCUAGCAGGAUCCAAAGUACCGCGGGACACGAGGAAUCCCGUGGGAAGUCGGGGGGACCACCCUCCAAGCCUAAAUACUACCCAAUGACCGAUAGCGAAAAGUACUGUGAAGGAACGGUGAAAAGAACCCCGGGAGGGGAGUGAAAAGAACCUGAAACUCUAUGCUUACAAGCACAUAGAGCACGUCAAAGUGUGAUAUGGUACCUUUUGUAGAAUGGUCCGGCGAGUUAUUGUAUGCAGCAAGGUUAAGGUCUUCAAGACUGAAGCCGAAGCGAGAGCGAGUCUGACAAGGGCGAUAAGUUGCAUGCAAUAGACCCGAAACCGGGUGACCUAGCCAUGUUCAGGUUGAAGUGGAGGUAAAGCUCCAUGGAGGACCGAACCGACCUCCGUUGAAAAGGCGGCGGAUGAAAUGUGGCUAGCGGAGAAAUUCCAAUCGAACCCGGAAAUAGCUGGUUCUCCCCGAAAUAGCUUUAGGGCUAGCGUUGUAUUAGAUUUCUGGGGGUAAAGCACUGAAUAGGCUAGGGGCCGAGAGGUUACUGAACCUUAUCAAACUAAGAAUACCAGAAAAUUGAUGUACAGCAGUCAGACUAUGUGAGAUAAGUCUCAUAGUCAAAAGGGAAACAGCCCAGACCCACAGCUAAGGUCCCAAAACAGAUUUAAGUGGAAAAGGAUGUGGGAUUGCCCAGACAACCAGGAUGUUGGCUUAGAAGCAGCCACACAUUAAAAGAGUGCGUAAUAGCUCACUGGUCGAGUGAUCCUGCGCCGAAAAUUCAACGGGGCUAAAAUUUGUACCGAAGCUUGGGCUUGAUACUUCGUAUCAGGGGUAGGGGAGCGUCAUGUAUGAGGAGAAGUCGUAGCGAAAGCGGUGGUGGAUUGUACAUGAGAGAGAAUGCCGGAAUGAGUAGCGAGAAUUAUGUGAGAAUCAUAAUGGCCGAAAAUCUAAGGUUUCCUGAGGAAGGUUCGUCCGCUCAGGGUAAGCCGGGAGCUAAGGUGAGGCGGAAACGCGUAGCCGAUGCACAUACGGUAGAGAUUCCGUAGCCUCCGAAAAGUAAAGCACAGGGACGCUUCAGAAGUGUUACGCCGGGCGAUGGUUGCCCCGGUUGUAAAGGACACGAUUGAGUGGAAGGUAACAUGGAUGGAGACAAGAAAAGCUGUGUGUAUCUGGAAGGAGCCCGUACCGCAAACCGACACAGGUAGAUAGGAAGAAGAUUCUAAGGCCAGCGGGAGAAGGGUUGUUAAGGAACUCGGCAAGUUGACCCCGUAACUUCGGGAGAAGGGGUGCUUACGAAGGUAAGCCGCAGAGAAUAGGCCCAAGCGACUGUUUAGCAAAAACACAGCUCUAUGCUAAAUCGAAAGAUGACGUAUAUGGGGUGACACCUGCCCGGUGCUGGAAGGUUAAGAGGAGAUGUGAGAGCAUUGAAUUGAAGCCCCAGUAAACGGCGGCCGUAACUAUAACGGUCCUAAGGUAGCGAAAUUCCUUGUCAGGUAAGUUCUGACCCGCACGAAUGGUGUAACGAUCUGGACACUGUCUCAACAACCCGCCCGGCGAAAUUGUAGUACUGGUGAACUUUGUUACAGCAGGAAUCGGCUCUACACCAAUUUCUUUUGAACCAGUCGUAUUCUGACCUUUUCCAUUAUUAAAUUCAUAACUAUUACUUACAUUAACGUUACCAAUAACAGAUUGAACAUUGCUGGGCAAAAUUGUUGUAUAAGUAAGCACAUAUUUUCCCAUAUACUCCGUAUCUGUAAUUUGAUAUCCGUCUUUAAGCUGUUUUCCCGUAAUUGUAAAAGAAGUUCCAUCGUCUCUUUUUACAGUUACAACGGUAUCAUCCGGAAUUGAGACAUUCACACCAGGAACAUCCUUAAUAACAGCACCAUUGAUAUUUAACGGACUUCCCUCAUUUAUGGUAAUCGUCCAGUCAAUUGAUUUCUCCUCAGAAUUAUAACUUCCGUUCUUUGUUACCCAUUUUUUUGUAAAUGUAUUUAUAACCUGAUUCCCGGAUAUUUCAUUUUUUCCUUCUGACUGGUAUGUAUAUGAAUUGCUCUUUGUAAUAGUAACUUCAUUAUUUCCAUUAUUAUACAUACUGUUAUAGUUGAUAAUUGAUGUCCAAUAUUCGAUUACAUAAUUAUCAUUAGCCGUCAUAUCCCCCAGAUUAAAGAUUGCUGUUUUUUCAUCU
rnacentral:rRNA from 1 species